rnacentral:rRNA from 1 species
UGGGGAAUAUUGGACAAUGGGCGAAAGCCUGAUCCAGCAAUGCCGCGUGUGUGAAGAAGGUCUUCGGAUUGUAAAGCACUUUCGACGGGGACGAUGAUGACGGUACCCGUAGAAGAAGCCCCGGCUAACUUCGUGUCAG